AUUGAACGCUGGCGGCAGGCCUAACACAUGCAAGUCGAGCGGAUGAAGGGAGCUUGCUCCUGGAUUCAGCGGCGGACGGGUGAGUAAUGCCUAGGAAUCUGCCUGGUAGUGGGGGAUAACGUCCGGAAACGGGCGCUAAUACCGCAUACGUCCUGAGGGAGAAAGUGGGGGAUCUUCGGACCUCACGCUAUCAGAUGAGCCUAGGUCGGAUUAGCUAGUUGGUGGGGUAAAGGCCUACCAAGGCGACGAUCCGUAACUGGUCUGAGAGGAUGAUCAGUCACACUGAAACUGAGACACGGUCCAACCUCCUAGGGGAGGCAGCGGGGGGAAUAUUGGACAAAGGGCGAAAGCCUGAUCCAGCCAUGCCGCGUGUGUGAAGAAGGUCUUCGGAUUGUAAAGCACUUUAAGUUGGGAGGAAGGGCAGUAAGUUAAUACCUUGCUGUUUUGACGUUACCAACAGAAUAAGCACCGGCUAACUUCGUG
rnacentral:rRNA from 1 species